UGGGGAAUCUUGGACAAUGGGCGCAAGCCUGAUCCAGCCAUGCCGCGUGAGCGAUGAAGGCCUUAGGGUUGUAAAGCUCUUUCACCGGUGAAGAUAAUGACGGUAGCCGGAGAAGAAGCCCCGGCUAACUCCGUGCCAGCAGCCGCGGUAAUACGGAGGGGGCUAGCGUUGUUCGGAAUUACUGGGCGUAAAGCGCACGUAGGCGGACCAGAAAGUUGGGGGUGAAAUCCCGGGGGCUCAACCCCGGAACUGCCUCCAAAACUAUUGGUCUAGAGUUCGAGAGAGGUGAGUGGAAUUCCAAGUGUAGAGGUGAAAUUCGUAGAUAUUUGGAGGAACACCAGUGGCGAAGGCGGCUCACUGGCUCGAUACUGACGCUGAGGUGCGAAAGUGUGGGGAGCAAACAGGAUUAGAUACCCUGGUAGUCCACGCCGUAAAACGAUGAGUGCUAGUCGUCGGCAGGCAUGCCUGUCGGUGACGCAGCUAACGCAUUAAGCACUCCGCCUGGGGAGUACGGCCGCAGA
rnacentral:rRNA from 1 species